CAACUACUCCCUCCGUUCAGAAUUACUUGUCACCAAAAUGGAUGUAUCUAGAACUAAAAUACAUCUAGAUACAUCCAUUUCAAUGACGAGUAUUUCCGAACGGAGGGAGUAAUAU
rnacentral:pre_miRNA from 1 species